GGGUUGUGAGGUUAAGCGACUAAGCGUACACGGUGGAUGCCCUGGCAGUCAGAGGCGAUGAAGGACGUGCUAAUCUGCGAUAAGCGUCGGUGAGGUGAUAUGAACCGUUAUAACCGGCGAUUUCCGAAUGGGGAAACCCAGUGUGUUUCGACACACUAUCAUUAACUGAAUCCAUAGGUUAAUGAGGCGAACCGGGGGAACUGAAACAUCUAAGUACCCCGAGGAAAAGAAAUCAACCGAGAUUCCCCCAGUAGCGGCGAGCGAACGGGGAGCAGCCCAGAGCCUGAAUCAGUGUGUGUGUUAGUGGAAGCGUCUGGAAAGGCGCGCGAUACAGGGUGACAGCCCCGUACACAAAAAUGCACAUGCUGUGAGCUCGAUGAGUAGGGCGGGACACGUGGUAUCCUGUCUGAAUAUGGGGGGACCAUCCUCCAAGGCUAAAUACUCCUGACUGACCGAUAGUGAACCAGUACCGUGAGGGAAAGGCGAAAAGAACCCCGGCGAGGGGAGUGAAAAAGAACCUGAAACCGUGUACGUACAAGCAGUGGGAGCCUCUUUAUGGGGUGACUGCGUACCUUUUGUAUAAUGGGUCAGCGACUUAUAUUCUGUAGCAAGGUUAACCGAAUAGGGGAGCCGAAGGGAAACCGAGUCUUAACUGGGCGUUAAGUUGCAGGGUAUAGACCCGAAACCCGGUGAUCUAGCCAUGGGCAGGUUGAAGGUUGGGUAACACUAACUGGAGGACCGAACCGACUAAUGUUGAAAAAUUAGCGGAUGACUUGUGGCUGGGGGUGAAAGGCCAAUCAAACCGGGAGAUAGCUGGUUCUCCCCGAAAGCUAUUUAGGUAGCGCCUCGUGAAUUCAUCUCCGGGGGUAGAGCACUGUUUCGGCAAGGGGGUCAUCCCGACUUACCAACCCGAUGCAAACUGCGAAUACCGGAGAAUGUUAUCACGGGAGACACACGGCGGGUGCUAACGUCCGUCGUGAAGAGGGAAACAACCCAGACCGCCAGCUAAGGUCCCAAAGUCAUGGUUAAGUGGGAAACGAUGUGGGAAGGCCCAGACAGCCAGGAUGUUGGCUUAGAAGCAGCCAUCAUUUAAAGAAAGCGUAAUAGCUCACUGGUCGAGUCGGCCUGCGCGGAAGAUGUAACGGGGCUAAACCAUGCACCGAAGCUGCGGCAGCGACGCUUAUGCGUUGUUGGGUAGGGGAGCGUUCUGUAAGCCUGCGAAGGUGUGCUGUGAGGUAUGCUGGAGGUAUCAGAAGUGCGAAUGCUGACAUAAGUAACGAUAAAGCGGGUGAAAAGCCCGCUCGCCGGAAGACCAAGGGUUCCUGUCCAACGUUAAUCGGGGCAGGGUGAGUCGACCCCUAAGGCGAGGCCGAAAGGCGUAGUCGAUGGGAAACAGGUUAAUAUUCCUGUACUUGGUGUUACUGCGAAGGGGGGACGGAGAAGGCUAUGUUGGCCGGGCGACGGUUGUCCCGGUUUAAGCGUGUAGGCUGAUUUUCCAGGCAAAUCCGGAAAAUCAAGGCUGAGGCGUGAUGACGAGGCACUACGGUGCUGAAGCAACAAAUGCCCUGCUUCCAGGAAAAGCCUCUAAGCAUCAGGUAACAUCAAAUCGUACCCCAAACCGACACAGGUGGUCAGGUAGAGAAUACCAAGGCGCUUGAGAGAACUCGGGUGAAGGAACUAGGCAAAAUGGUGCCGUAACUUCGGGAGAAGGCACGCUGAUAUGUAGGUGAAGCGACUUGCUCGUGGAGCUGAAAUCAGUCGAAGAUACCAGCUGGCUGCAACUGUUUAUUAAAAACACAGCACUGUGCAAACACGAAAGUGGACGUAUACGGUGUGACGCCUGCCCGGUGCCGGAAGGUUAAUUGAUGGGGUUAGCGGUAACGCGAAGCUCUUGAUCGAAGCCCCGGUAAACGGCGGCCGUAACUAUAACGGUCCUAAGGUAGCGAAAUUCCUUGUCGGGUAAGUUCCGACCUGCACGAAUGGCGUAAUGAUGGCCAGGCUGUCUCCACCCGAGACUCAGUGAAAUUGAACUCGCUGUGAAGAUGCAGUGUACCCGCGGCAAGACGGAAAGACCCCGUGAACCUUUACUAUAGCUUGACACUGAACAUUGAGCCUUGAUGUGUAGGAUAGGUGGGAGGCUUUGAAGUGUGGACGCCAGUCUGCAUGGAGCCGGCCUUGAAAUACCACCCUUUAAUGUUUGAUGUUCUAACGUUGGCCCCUGAUCGGGGUUGCGGACAGUGUCUGGUGGGUAGUUUGACUGGGGCGGUCUCCUCCUAAAGAGUAACGGAGGAGCACGAAGGUUGGCUAAUCCUGGUCGGACAUCAGGAGGUUAGUGCAAUGGCAUAAGCCAGCUUGACUGCGAGCGUGACGGCGCGAGCAGGUGCGAAAGCAGGUCAUAGUGAUCCGGUGGUUCUGAAUGGAAGGGCCAUCGCUCAACGGAUAAAAGGUACUCCGGGGAUAACAGGCUGAUACCGCCCAAGAGUUCAUAUCGACGGCGGUGUUUGGCACCUCGAUGUCGGCUCAUCACAUCCUGGGGCUGAAGUAGGUCCCAAGGGUAUGGCUGUUCGCCAUUUAAAGUGGUACGCGAGCUGGGUUUAGAACGUCGUGAGACAGUUCGGUCCCUAUCUGCCGUGGGCGCUGGAGAACUGAGGGGGGCUGCUCCUAGUACGAGAGGACCGGAGUGGACGCAUCACUGGUGUUCGGGUUGUCAUGCCAAUGGCACUGCCCGGUAGCUAAAUGCGGAAGAGAUAAGUGCUGAAAGCAUCUAAGCACGAAACUUGCCCCGAGAUGAGUUCUCCCUGAGACUUAGAGUCUCCUGAAGGAACGUUGAAGACGACGACGUUGAUAGGCCGGGUGUGUAAGCGCAGCGAUGCGUUGAGCUAACCGGUACUAAUGAACCGUGAGGCUUAACCUUACAACGCCGAAG
rnacentral:rRNA from 5 species